rnacentral:tRNA from 4 species
GGCGGCAUGGCCGAGUGUAAGGCGGGGGACUGCAAAUCCUUUUUCCCCAGUUCAAAUCCGGGUG